AUACGUAGGGGGCGAGCGUUGUCCGGAAUGAUUGGGCGUAAAGGGCGCGUAGGCGGCCUGUUAAGUCUGGAGUGACAGUCCUGUUUUCAAGAUGGGAAUUGCUUUGGUUACUGAUGGGCUUGAGUGCAGGAGAGGUUAUCGGAAUUCCCGGUGUAGCGGUGAAAUGCGUAGAGAUCGGGAGGAACACCAGUGGCGAAGGCGGGUAACUGGACUGCAACUGACGCUGAGGCGCGAAAGUGUGGGGAGCAAACAGGAUUAGAUACCCUGGUAGUCCACACUGUAAACGAUGAAUGCUAGGUGUAAGAGGUAUCGACCCCUUUUGUGCCGGAGUCAACACAAUAAGCAUUCCGCCUGGGGAGUACGGCCGCAAGGUUGAAACUCAAAGGAAUUGACGGGG
rnacentral:rRNA from 1 species